AACGAACGCUGGCGGCAUGCCUAACACAUGCAAGUCGAACGAGACCUCCGGGUCUAGUGGCGCAUGGGUGCGUAACGCGUGGGAACCUGCCCUUAGGUUCGGAAUAACUCCCCGAAAGGGGUGCUAAUACCGGAUAAUGUCUUCGGACCAAAGAUUUAUCGCCUUUGGAUGGGCCCGCGUUGGAUUAGCUUGUUGGUAGGGUAAAAGCCUACCAAGGCGACGAUCCAUAGCUGGGCUGAGAGGAUGAUCAGCCACACUGGGACUGAGACACGGCCCAGACUCCUACGGGAGGCAGGAGUGCGGAAUAUUGGAAAAUGGGCGAAGGCAUGAUCCAGCAAUGCCGCGUGAGUGAUGAAGGUCGUAGAGUAGUAAAGCUCUUUUACCCGGGAUGAUAAUGACAGUACCGGGAGAAUAAGCUCCGGCUAACUCCGUG
rnacentral:rRNA from 1 species